rnacentral:tRNA from 2 species
GGUGGAUGUAGCCAAGUGGUUAAGGCAGUGGGUUGUGAUUCCGCCAUUCGCGGGUUCAAGUCCCGUCAUUCACCCUAA